rnacentral:rRNA from 1 species
AACGAACGCUGGCGGCAGGCCUAACACAUGCAAGUCGAACGCCCUAGCAAUAGGGAGUGGCAGACGGGUGAGUAACACGUGGGAACCUUCCCUAUAGUACGGAAUAGCCCAGGGAAACUUGGAGUAAUACCGUAUACGCCCGAGAGGGGAAAGAUUUAUCGCUAUAGGAUGGGCCCGCGUAGGAUUAGCUAGUUGGUGAGGUAAUGGCUCACCAAGGCGACGAUCCUUAGCUGGUCUGAGAGGACGACCAGCCACACUGGGACUGAGACACGGCCCAGACUCCUACGGGAGGCAGCAGUGGGGAAUAUUGGACAAUGGGCGCAAGCCUGAUCCAGCCAUGCCGCGUGAGUGAUGAAGGCCUUAGGGUUGUAAAGCUCUUUUGUCGGGGACGAUAAUGACGGUACCCGAAGAAUAAGUCCCGGCUAACUUCGUGCCAGCCGCCGCGGUAA